AAAUCCCCUUCUCAUGUUAUUUACUAAAUAUGCAUUACAGAGCCCUUAAGGCUGAAGAAGAAAAGAAAAAGAGGAGGGGAAUACAACAAUAACAAUAGCGAAUGAAAGAAGCUCAGCAGGCGACGAUUUGAUGCAAAGUGCGGACAAGGUAACAAAAUCUCCUUCUCAUUCUCGAUUAACAAGAUGUACGUUACAAGACCCUGAGGGCCGAAAAAA
rnacentral:lncRNA from 1 species